GGGACAAAAUUGACCAUGGAACCUGCUCUCCCAGAAUCUGAACCUUCUAUCUACCAACUGAAGUCCAAAGAUGGAAAUUUCUCAGCUUGCCUUAUCACGGACUUCGCCCCUGAAGGCAUCUCAGUUUGGAGUUCAGGCAGUGAACCAACACCAGUCAAUGGCUCCGUUGUGCAGGUGAAAAACCCAGACAGCGGAAAAAUGGAAGCAAGCUAUGGGACGGUGCUUUGGGAAGAGCAUGAGAACUUUGGCUGUUUCGCUACACAUGGAAAUAGAGAUUUCGAGAUGAGUGACCAUGAUGAGGAAGGUGACACCUGCCGGAUAACAGAGCUGGAUGACAAUUUUGAGACAGACGAGAAGCUGAACCUCCUGUCAUUUACGCUGCUGGGCCUGAGAAUCGUUUUUGUGAAAGGAGUGGCGGUUAACCUGCUACUGACCAUCUGGCUGUGGAAGAGCUAAAGAGUGGAAGGAAAGAGGACAGAUGGAAUCUGGAGUGAUGGGAAUUCCUCAGAGACCUGGUGUCAUCUCUUCACCUUCCCAUGCAGCAGGAAAUAUGCUGCAAUGAAAGAUCCCCAUAUCACCUCUGUAUAUAGGCCUGUUGUAUAAUGAGCUGAUGUGCUUUCCCUUAGCAAGUUUUAGAAGGAUCUCACCAACCUAGCCUGGUUUUUCCAUGACCCUCUUCCCUUUCACCCUCCGCAGACUGACACAAGCUCCCAGUGUGAGGCAAGGAAUUGCUGUUAAGUAGAGCUGGUCAACAAAUGUGUGGAAACAUUUUUUGAUGGAAAAUUAGAGUUUCAAUUUUUUUUUGGCAGAAAGUCCCCAUCUUCCUAGGGAAAAAAACUUCAAAUUUUCAUCAGAAACUCAAAAUGUUUGGCUAAAAACUGAAUAUUUUCAGGGUUUUUUUUUAACAGUUUUUGGCCACAAGAUUUUUCAGUUUUUGUCUGAAAAAUUUCAGUUUUCAGUUGUCAAACACCAAAAACAACUUUUUAAAACAUUUUUUCCAGUGAAAAUUUCAACAAAAAGUGAAUUUUUUUUUUAGUGUUCAUUGAAAUUUUCUGCAGAACAAACCAGCUUUACCAUUAACCCUAUUUUGAAAAGGGGAAAUUGAAGCACAGAGAAUGAGGCUGAGAUUUUCAAAGCCACCCAAGGGCUUUGGGCUCCUGCUUCUCUUGGAAAUUAAUGGGAAUUGUGCAUUAAAAUCCCCUAGGUUGAAUUUUACUCUCUCUGCUGCACACUGGGAUUUUCAAAGCGGCCUAGAGGAAUGAGGCAUCCAUCUCCACUUGAAAUUCAAUAGCAUUUCGGCAGCUAGUUCCUUUGAAAAUCCAGCCAACACAUUUCUGAUAGUGGUGGGUUCUUUAAGGCAGAUGCGUGGAAGUUGAUGCUACACAAAUUCAGCCUAGCACUAAAGUGCAAAUUAACAGUCAGGGUAAUUAACCAUUGGAUGGUGUUAACUAGGCGUGUGUGGAUUUCCCCUCUUUGCAUCAAGACUGGAUGCCUUUCUGAAAGACGCUGUAGUUCACCCAGACGUGAUGGGCUCAAAGCAGGGAUCCGUGGCCAACACUCUCUGGCUUGUAUUAUAUGCAGGAGUUGGGCUAGAGCAGAAUGGUCCCGUCUGGCCUCUUGAAGAAACUCAUACAAAUGACUCCAUGCCACAGUCUCUUCCCAUCCCCGCUCUGCAGAAUUGGCGGCCAGGUCCCGGGUGGUAGAAGCCAGCACCACCUCACCGAUUUUCAUGCAGUGACAGCAGUUCUGGAGGACGUACAUUACCCAAACACAAGACGGGCAUUAGUCACAGACAGGUUCUGGGCUCAUUGCAGGGCAGAUGUAAUAGCCAGGAAGUGAGACUAGUCUUUCAUGCCGUAAACGCUAGGAAUUUAUACCAGCUCUGGACUGAUCCUACAUUUUAUUGUUCCAAUCUGCAUUUAUAUUGUCCCUUAGCUCUGUUAACCUGACUUUCAAAGUGUAUCUCCCUAUUUUAAACAUUUUUAAAUGUGAGAUUUGCUCAUUUAUUCUUUGGAAAAGAUUUUAUCAUUUGUUUUCAUUUCCUGCGGAGCUUCUUUGUACGGCGUUGCUGAGAUGAUCAUGUACUCAAACUUCCUCUCCGGUCCGCCCUGGGCUGCUAGUAAAGAGCUUGGCUGAU